rnacentral:rRNA from 1 species
UACGUAGGGCGCGAGCGUUGUCCGGAAUUAUUGGGCGUAAAGAGCUCGUAGGCGGCUUGUCGCGUCGGAUGUGAAAGCCCGGGGCUUAACCCCGGGUCUGCAUUCGAUACGGGCAGGCUAGAGUUCGGUAGGGGAGAUCGGAAUUCCUGGUGUAGCGGUGAAAUGCGCAGAUAUCAGGAGGAACACCGGUGGCGAAGGCGGGUCUCUGGGCCGAUACUGACGCUGAGGAGCGAAAGCAUGGGGAGCGAACAGG